CCUACGGGUGGCAGCAGUGAGGAAUAUUGGUCAAUGGCCGUAAGGCUGAACCAGCCAAGUAGCGUGAGGGAAGACUGCCCUAUGGGUUGUAAACCUCUUUUAUGCGGGGAUAAAGGUGUCCACGUGUGGAUGGUUGCAGGUACCGCAUGAAUAAGGACCGGCUAAUUCCGUGCCAGCAGCCACGGUAAUACGGAAGGUCCGGGGGUUAUCCGGAUGUAUUGGGUUGAAAGGGAGGGUAGGCCGGUCUUUAAGCGUGCCUGGAAAUUUUGUGGCUCAACCAUGAGGGUGCGCCGUGAACUGGAGACCUUGAGUGCGCGGAAGGCAGGCGGAAUUCGUGGUGUAGCGGUGAAAUGCGUAGAUAUCACGAAGAACCCCGAUUGCGAAGGCAGCCUGCCGCAGCUUUACUGACGCUGAAGCUCGAAAGCGCGGGUAUCGAACAGGAUUAGAUACCCGAGUAGUC
rnacentral:rRNA from 1 species